CUUAUUUUUCAUUUAUUUAAUGGGGAAUUGCCACUAAUACCACUUUCCUAAUACCACUUUUCAACUUUACACUUUUCAAAUUUACCAUUAAAAUUUUAAUGGCUAAAGUACCAUAAUAUCACUCAUUUCAUUAAUUUAACCUAGAUCUAUUCUUCUCCAAAUGUCUGUCACGAGAUGAAACUGAGAUCAAAUUGAGACGAGCUCCAACGAGAUCUCCGGCAAACUCGGCGAUCUCCGGCGAAUUCGGCGAUCUCCGGCGAACUUGGCGAUCUCCGGUGAACUCGACGAUCUCCGACGAACUCGACCGGAUUGGGAGAGCGUGGCGGCGAGUGGACAUCCCGCCGUUCCUCCGCCGGCAUUAUGUAGUCGUAGUAAUCCUCCGAUGCUAAAUCGGUCACGUUCGUCACGAAUCGCAUGCCGAGAAGUUCUCCGGCAAAGCUGACAGACUCGACAAGCUCAGACGAACGAGACGAUCUCUCAACGCCUAAGAAACACUAACAAAGAGAAUUACAAAUGUGUGUUGUCAGCUUUUGGAUUUAAAGGAUGUUGUGGAGAAUAUGUGUGGUGAUAUGCAUAUCUAAGUAUCUCACUUCCUUAAGGUAAUACAAUGCUACUAUUUGUAGUUUGACUAGCAAUGUUUUAGUAUGUGCAGUAUAUGAGGUGGAACGUUGGUGUUUUGGUAGUGUAACGUUCUAUUUAUACUUUGUGAGUUUAUUUUUUAUGUCUUGUUUUGUGUAUAAUAUCUACAGAAGCAGUGGAGAUGAAUGAUGAGUUUGUUGAGUUACGAAAGCAUACUAUUUUUGAAUCUUAUUUUUGGAAGUGAAUGCUGAUGCGUAGAAAUAAUAUGUGACUGGCUUUUGUUCAGAUUUUGAAAAUUUACGAGGUUGGUGAGCUGUUUGAAGAGGCAAGAGAGACUCUGAAGAAGAAUGUGGUUUGUGCUAUCAAAGAAUUACGUAUUUAUAACGCUUUAUAAAAGUUGCAGAGUUGGCUUCUUAGUACAUUCUUCUCUCUCAUCUUAUUUAGACAUCUCUUAUACUAAAACAAUUGUAUCUCUCUUUUAGUAGUUACAUAGUUGAAGAUAUUAGUUGGACAUGUAAGUGAGUUUGGUUUCAAUUGUUUCUUUUAUAGAAGAGUGAGAUAUGGAGAAGCCUUGAUGUUCUCAGACUAUGUUAAAGCAAUAUAUCCCUUGUUGAAGGACGUGGCUCUUUCACCAGAUAUGUCUUUUUUGUGUUGAUUGUCUUUUGGAGGGAUUUUAGAAAAAUUACCUUAUAAGCCAUUGUAAAUAAAUUUAUAAACGCUUAUAAAUCACUUUGAGUUUCUUACA